UACGGAGGGUGCGAGCGUUGUUCGGAAUCACUGGGCGUAAAGGGCGUGUAGGCGGUCCGCUAAGUCUGAUGUGAAAGCCCGGGGCUCACCCCCGGAAGUGCAUUGGAAACUGGCGGACUCGAGUCCCGGAGAGGAGAGUGGAAUUCCUGGUGUAGCGGUGAAAUGCGUAGAUAUCAGGAGGAACACCAAUGGCGAAGGCAGCUCUCUGGUACAUGACUGACACUGAGACGCGAAAGCGUGGGGAGCGAACAGG
rnacentral:rRNA from 1 species